AGUGAACGCUGGCGGUAGGCCUAACACAUGCAAGUCGAACGGCAGCACAGAGGAGCUUGCUCCUUGGGUGGCGAGUGGCGGACGGGUGAGGAAUACAUCGGAAUCUACUCUGUCGUGGGGGAUAACGUAGGGAAACUUACGCUAAUACCGCAUACGACCUACGGGUGAAAGCAGGGGAUCUUCGGACCUUGCGCGAUUGAAUGAGCCGAUGUCGGAUUAGCUAGUUGGCGGGGUAAAGGCCCACCAAGGCGACGAUCCGUAGCUGGUCUGAGAGGAUGAUCAGCCACACUGGAACUGAGACACGGUCCAGACUCCUACAGGAGGCAGCAGUGGGGAAUAUUGGACAAUGGGCGCAAGCCUGAUCCAGCCAUACCGCGUGGGUGAAGAAGGCCUUCGGGUUGUAAAGCCCUUUUGUUGGGAAAGAAAUCCAUCUGGUUACUACCCGGGUGGGAUGACGGUACCCAAAGAAUAAGCACCGGCUAACUUCGUGCCAGCAGCCGCGGUAA
rnacentral:rRNA from 1 species